ACCAAUUCCUGAGGAUGAUUUGUGUUCCUCAUGGCGAUUAGUCUCGGACGCUACAAGCUAUUCUCUGUUGUGUGGUAUAUCCUGAUUGGUGGCAUUCUAUGUGCCAACUUAUCCUGGAAACGACACAUACAUUC
rfam:Triticum urartu cultivar G1812 contig436981, whole genome shotgun sequence.